rnacentral:lncRNA from 1 species
GUUCACAGUAAGACAGUUCACGUACACAGUAGGACAGUACACAGUAGAACAGUUCACAGACAGUACACAGUAGGACAGUACACAGUAGAACAGUUCACAGUACACAGUAGGACAGUACACAGGACAGUUUACAGUACACAGUAGGACAGUACACAGUAGGACAGUUCACAGUAGGACAGUACAUAGUAGGACAGUUUCCAUGACACAGCAAUUAGUAGGACAGUUUCCAAGACAGUAGAGAAGUUUCCAUGACAGUUUCCAGAGGCCUGUUAACUCAAUAGACACAGUUGAAUAGAAAUGGUGAAAUAUUGAAGGUACAGACAGCAUAAGCAAUUUGCCCAGAGACACACAGUGGGAAUGCAGAGUAGUUAGAUGGAAAUCUAGGCCUGAUUUCAAACUCAUUCUCCUGGAAUUGAUAAAUAACUUUAUACAUAAAAUACCGAAAUGACAACUGGCCAUUCAAAACCUCAACAAAGAGCCAAGGUAGGCUUUAGAAACAAAACCGAACCAAAAAAAUCAGCUUAUGUCUUUAAUUCAGCAUAUUAAAUAUUAAGAAAACAUUUUCAAAUGAUGUAUAACAGAUAAUUUUUUAAAGCACAAAUAAGGAAGCAUUUAAAUAAUUUGAAUUCCCUUACUUUAUUUCAGAUAUUCCAGGGGAGAUUGUAGAAUCCCCCUCCAUGAAUCCCCUUCUUGGAAAUAAAGAAUAAAGUUAGAGAUGAAGAGAAAGAGGGGGAAGAAUUGAAUAGAGGAACCUGGCAAUCCAUUCAUAUUCACUUUGGUAGUUGGAAAUGAAAGUGAGAGACAGGGAUUAAGGAUUCUCCUAAAAUUAUUU